AACGAACGCUGGCGGCACGCCUAACACAUGCAAGUCGAGCGGGAUCUUCGGAUCUAGCGGCGGACGGGUUAGUAACGCGUGGGAACGUACCCAGAUCUACGGAAUAGCCUCGGGAAACUGAGAGUAAUACCGUAUACGCCCUUCGGGGGAAAGAUUUAUCGGAUUUGGAUCGGCCCGCGUAAGAUUAGAUAGUUGGUGGGGUAAUGGCCUACCAAGUYUACGAUCUUUAGCUGGUUUGAGAGGAUGAUCAGCAACACUGGGACUGAGACACGGCCCAGACUCCUACGGGAGGCAGCAGUGGGGAAUCUUAGACAAUGGGCGCAAGCCUGAUCUAGCGAUGCCGCGUGAGUGAUGAAGGCCUUAGGGUCGUAAAGCUCUUUCGCCUGU
rnacentral:rRNA from 1 species